AUACGUAGGUGACAAGCGUUAUCCGGAUUUACUGGGCGUAAAGGGCGUGUAGGCGGUCUUGCAAGUCAGAAGUGAAAUUCCUGAGCUCAACUCGGGCGCUGCUUCUGAAACUGCAGGACUUGAGUGCUGGAGGGGAUAGCGGAAUUCCUAGUGGAGCGGUAAAAUGCGCAGAUAUUAGGAAGAACACCGGUGGCGAAGGCGGCUAUCUGGACAGUAACUGACGCUGAGGCGCGAAAGCGUGGGGAGCAAACAGGAUUAGAUACCCUGGUAGUCCACGCGGUAAACGAUGAAUACUAGGUGUCGGGGGGCGAAGCUCUUCGGUGCCGAAAGCAAACGCAGUAAGUAUUCCACCUGGGGAGUACGUUCGCAAGAAUGAAACUCAAAUGAAUUGGCGG
rnacentral:rRNA from 1 species